rnacentral:misc_RNA from 1 species
UUACUAUUUAUAAUAAAUGACUUAACCCCUUUUAGUUAUAUGUUAUACUAUAAUCAAUUAAUAAACAUUGAACAUAAAUAUAUGUCAUGUGCAGUGGCGGAUUCACUAUGAAAAAAGAGGGGUAAAUUGACUCCUGAUUAAUUUAAGCAUUGAACCCUCAAUGUAUUUUUAUUAAUAGGAAAUUAAUUGACUGUACUCACAAGAUAAGGAUCUUUUCUUCCUAAAUUUAAAACUCAAUU